rnacentral:lncRNA from 1 species
UGGACGCUCUGGAAAGCACCUGUGGCCCCAGAGGAGUGGCGACGGGCAGCAGCGCUUCGUGAUCCUGAUUUCUUCCACCCCAGGCAAGAAGUGCCCACCAUGGGUACCACCACCACCCCUCCCCCGAGGACUAAAUGAGCAGCAGGGAGUGACAAACAGUCAGGUGCACCUAAGUUCCAGCCAAGCUCUACCAUCGACACUCUAUGACUUGGGGAGGACCCCAGGGAAGAUGAUUCAAGCAAUGCUGAGGAGGCUGCACUCUGCCCAAGAGCUGAAGCCCGUGAGAAGAACCUAACAGGCUCAUGGUCUGGCCCUCAUGGACACCCCGGGGACCACCAGGUGAAGUGGAGUCAAGGCCUGCUCUCAACCCUGGGCAUGGGUGGAGACAUGAGUCAGCAUGAGUGGCCUGAGGGGGAGGGUCAGCAGCCCUGUCCGAGGCAAUGGGAAAAGCACUGAAUUUUAAGGCAAAUGGCCCAGGUUGAGUCCUGGCUCCUCCCUCUGCCUUCACUAGUUUUGUAAUGUUGAACAAGUCAAUACAUGAAUUUCAUAAUCUAUA